rnacentral:snoRNA from 1 species
AAGGUUGAAGAUGACGAGAUGAUAUCUUUCAUCCUUACUGGAUUGGACAGUGAAUAUAACCCUAUUGUUACUUCGGUCAUGGGGUGCACGGAUCAGAUCUCAUUGAGUGAGUUAUACACCCAAGUGAUGGCGUAUGAAUC